rnacentral:rRNA from 1 species
AGUCGAGCGGUAGAGAGAAGCUUGCACCUCUUGAGAGCGGCGGACGGGUGAGUAAAGCCUAGGAAUCUGCCUGGUAGUGGGGGAUAACGCUCGGAAACGGACGCUAAUACCGCAUACGUCCUACGGGAGAAAGCAGGGGACCUUCGGGCCUUGCGCUAUCAGAUGAGCCUAGGUCGGAUUAGCUAGUUGGUGAGGUAAUGGCUCACCAAGGCGACGAUCCGUAACUGGUCUGAGAGGAUGAUCAGUCACACUGGAACUGAGACACGGUCCAGACUCCUACGGGAGGCAGCAGUGGGGAAUAUUGGACAAUGGGCGAAGGCCUGAUCCAGCCAUGCCGCGUGUGUGAAGAAGGUCUUCGGAUUGUAAAGCACUUUAAGUUGGGAGGAAGGGCAGUAAAUUAAUACUUUGCUGUUUUGACGUUACCGACAGAAUAAGCACCGGCUAACUCUGUGCCAGCAGCCGCGGUAAUACAGAGGGUGCAAGCGUUAAUCGGAAUUACUGGGCGUAAAGCGCGCGUAGGUGGUUAGUUAAGUUGGAUGUGAAAUCCCCGGGCUCAACCUGGGAACUGCAUUCAAAACUGACUGACUAGAGUAUGGUAGAGGGUGGUGGAAUUUCCUGUGUAGCGGUG